rnacentral:rRNA from 1 species
CCUACGGGAGGCAGCAGUGGGGAAUAUUGGGCAAUGGGCGCAAGCCUGACCCAGCAACGCCGCGUGAAGGAAGAAGGCUCUCGGGUUGGAAACUUCUUUUAUUAGGGACGAAGCAAGUGACGUGUCCUGAUGUAUAAGCCACGGAUAACUACGUGCAAGCAGUCGCGGGAAUACGUAGGUGGCAAGCGUUAUCCGGAUUUACUGGGUGUAAAGGGAGUGUAGGCGGGAUUGCAAGUCAGAUGUGAAAACUAUGGGCUCAACCCAUAGCCUGCAUUUGAAACUGGACUUCUUGAGUGCUGGAGAGGCAAUCGGAAUUCGGUGUGUAGCGGUGAAAUGCGUAGAUAUACGGAAGAACACCAGUUGCGAAGGCAGAUUGCUGGACAGUAACUGACGCUGAGGCUCGAAAGCGUGGGUAGCAAACAGGAUUAGAUACCCGAGUAGUC